GAUGAACGCUGACAGACUGCUUAACACAUGCAAGUCUACUUGAUUCUACUUCGGUAGUUGAUGGUGGCGGACGGGUGAGUAACGCGUAAAGAAUCUGCCCUUUAGUUUGGGAUAACCUUUGGCAACGAAGGCUAAUACCGGAUAUUAUGGAGACGUCGCAUGGCGACUCCAUGAAAGCUAUAUGCGCUAGAGGAGGACUUUGCGUCCCAUUAGUUAGUUGGUGAGGUAAUGGCUCACCAAGACCGCGAUGGGUAGCCGGCCUGAGAGGGGGAUCGGCCACAAGGGAACUGAGACACGGGCCUUACUCCUACGGGAGGCAGCAGUGGGGAAUAUUGGACAAUGGGCCACAAGCCUGAUCCAGCAAUUCUGUGUGCACGAUGAAGGUCUUCGGAUUGUAAAGUGCUUUCAGUAGGGAAGAAAAAAAUGACGGUACCUACAGAAGAAGCGACGGCUAAAUAUGUGCCAGCCGCCGCUGUAA
rnacentral:rRNA from 1 species